CAGUCGCCGCGGUAAUACGGAGGAUCCAAGCGUUAUCCGGAAUCAUUGGGUUUAAAGGGUCCGUAGGCGGUCUUGUAAGUCAGUUGUGAAAGCCCAUCGCUCAACGGUGGAACGGCCAUUGAUACUGCAGGACUUGAAUUAUUGGGAAGUAACUAGAAUAUGUAGUGUAGCGGUAAAAUGCUUAGAGAUUACAUGGAAUACCAAUUGCGAAGGCAGGUUACUACCAAUUGAUUGACGCUGAUGGACGAAAGCGUGGGUAGCGAACAGGAUUAGAUACCCCAGUAGUCCCUGUCUCUUAUAC
rnacentral:rRNA from 1 species